rnacentral:lncRNA from 13 species
GCAGAAUUACUUUCCCAUUGUUCCUCAAAUGCAGUGUAUGAUAUACCAUUUUGUAGCUUUGAGUCUCUACUUUUAACACAAUUUCACAUUUUACUACAUAAGACGGAAUCCAGGUGGUGAGUCACAUAUGGAAUCAUGUAGCAACAAAAACAAGUGUUAAACAAAUUGAAAUAUAUUUUAUAUUUGAGAUUCUUCAAAGUAGCCACCCUUUGCCUUGAUGACAGAUUUGCACACUCUUUGAAAAAUCUAAAAUAUAUUUUUGCACAACACACUUCCACCGAGGUUGCACCUGCAAAAGCCCCUGGUAGGAUCUUAAUUAGCAUGAAAUAAAGGUGCACUUGAUUAAUCUCACCCAGUGCAAUGGGUAGGUAGAGUUCACUCUUUAUUAAUUAAAACCACUGGUUUUGUCCAUGAUGCGCAAACCCUCCAGCACACCAGCUGAAUGAAAUCAAGCGCACCUAAUCGCAAUUGGGAAAUUGGACCAAUGGAAAUUAUGUUCAGUGGCUUGCAGGUGUACCUAAUUAACCAGCCAGAUUAGAAGGGUCUAGGAUUCCUUUGUAAGGCGCAGCAAAAAAAACAAUCAGAUACAAUAUCAGGGAUCUCCUGGUAAGACUUCUGGCUACCAUUAGUUCUGAAUACUGAGGUUUUGAUGCGAAAAAUAGCUCUGAGUUUUGAAAUGUCUUUGAGAAUUUCUUGGAUUUGUUGCCUGCUAAUUGGAGGGAUAACCUGUUAUCCUCCACCUAAAGGUAAUUAUAGCUAUAUUCCCCAAAAUCAAGUAAAAGGAACUGGCCGCAAUGCAGCGGAAGCUACCGGCUCCCGUGCCUCGACAGGUGAAGCUACCGGUUCCCGUACCUCAGCAGGUGAAGCAGCCACCCAUAAUGCCUCUGCAAGCGUCACGACUGGCCCAAAUACCUUAGCUGAAGCAACUGGCCACAAUGCUUCAUCAAGUGCCACGACUGUCCCAAAUUCCUUAGGUGAAGCAGCUGGCCACGGUGCCUCAAAGCAACUGGCCACGGUGCCUCGGCAGCGGAAGCAACUGGACACAGUGCCAUGCAAACGGCCACCCAUAAUGCCUCAGAAGCGGCUAACCACAAUGCCUCAUCAAGCGUCACGACUGGCCCAAAUACCUUGGGUGAAGGAGCCGACUCCCGUGCCUCAGCAGAAGCAGCAACCCAUAAUAUCUCAGCAAGCGUCACGACUGGCCCAAAUACCUUAGCUGAAGCAACUGGCCACAAUGCUUCAUCAAGCGCCACGACUGGCCCAAGUGCCUCAGGUGAAGCAACUGGCCACAGUGCCACGCAAGCGCCACCCAUAAUGCCUCGACAAGUGUGGCAGCUGGCCCAAAUACCUUAGGUGAAUCAAUUUGCCACAGUGCUUCAUCAAGCGCCAUGACUGGCCUAAAUACCUUCGGUGAAGCAACCGGCCACUUUGCCUCGGCAGCGGAAGCAACCGGCCACGGUACCUCAAGUGCGGAAUCUGGUUCAAAUGCCUCGGCAGAAGCGGCAGGCGCCCUUGCCUCGGCAGAAGCGGCAGGCGCCCUUGCCUCGGCAGAAGCGGCAGGCGCCCUUGCCUCGGCAGAAGCGGCAGGCGCCCUUGCCUCGGCAGAAGCGGCAGGCGCCCUUGCCUCGGCAGAAGCGGCAGGCGCCCUUGCCUCGGCAGAAGCGGCAGG